rnacentral:rRNA from 1 species
UACGGGAGGCAGCAGUGGGGAAUAUUGCACAAUGGGCGAAAGCCUGAUGCAGCUAUGCCGCGUGUAUGAAGAAGGCCUUAGGGUUGUAAAGUACUUUCAUCGGGGAGGAAAAAACAAAACUAAUAAUUUUAUUUCUUGACGUUACCCGAAAAAGAAGCACCGGCUAACUCCGUGCCAGCAGCCGCGGUAAUACGGAGGGUGCUAGCGUUAAUCAGAAUUACUGGGCGUAAAGAGCACGUAGGUGGUUUUUUUAAGUCAGAUGUGAAAUCCCUGGGCUUAACCUAGGAACUGCAUUUUGAAACUGAAAUACUAGAGUAUCGUAGAGGGAGGUAGAAUUCUAGGUGUAGCGGUGAAAUGCGUAGAUAUCUGGAGGAAUACCUGUGGCGAAAGCGGCCUCCUAAACGAAUACUGACACUGAGGUGCGAAAAGCGUGGGGAGCAAAACAGGGAUUAAGAUACC